rnacentral:pre_miRNA from 1 species
UUAACUCAAACAUUUAUGGAGUUGGAUCGUUUGCCAACGUUUGCCGCUAGGGGGCGCUGUUCCAACUGCAUACAAAUUUGAGUAU